rnacentral:rRNA from 1 species
GUCUACAGCAAUGCUACCUUGAACAAGCCCGAUCCCAUCUGAUCUCGGAAGCUAAGCAGGGUCGGGCCUGGUUAGUACUUGGACAGGAGACCACCUAGGAAGACCAGGUGCUGUAGGUG